rnacentral:rRNA from 1 species
CCAGACUCCUACGGGAGGCAGCAGUAGGGAAUCUUCGGCAAUGGACGAAAGUCUGACCGAGCAACGCCGCGUGAGUGAAGAAGGUUUUCGGAUCGUAAAGCUCUGUUGUAAGAGAAGAACGGGUGUGAGAGUGGAAAGUUCACACUGUGACGGUAUCUUACCAGAAAGGGACGGCUAACUACGUGCCAGCAGCCGCGGUAAUACGUAGGUCCCGAGCGUUGUCCGGAUUUAUUGGGCGUAAAGCGAGCGCAGGCGGUUAGAUAAGUCUGAAGUUAAAGGCUGUGGCUUAACCAUAGUACGCUUUGGAAACUGUUUAACUUGAGUGCAGAAGGGGAGAGUGGAAUUCCAUGUGUAGCGGUGAAAUGCGUAGAUAUAUGGAGGAACACCGGUGGCGAAAGCGGCUCUCUGGUCUGUAACUGACGCUGAGGCUCGAAAGCGUGGGGAGCGAACAGGAUUAGAUGCCCUGGUAGUCCACGCCGUAAACGAUGAGUGCUAGGUGUUAGGCCCUUUCCGGGGCUUAGUGCCGCAGCUAACGCAUUAAGCACUCCGCCUGGGGAGUACGACCGCAAGGUUGAAACUCAAAGGAAUUGACGGGGGCCCCGCACAAG